UUUGAUGGCGACCGGCGCACGGGUGAGUAACACGUAUCCAAUCUGCCGAUGACUCGGGGAUAGCCUUUCGAAAGAAAGAUUAAUACCCGAUGGCAUAGUUCUUCCGCAUGGUGGAACUAUUAAAGAAUUUCGGUCAUCGAUGGGGAUGCGUUCCAUUAGGUUGUUGGCGGGGUAACGGCCCACCAAGCCUUCGAUGGAUAGGGGUUCUGAGAGGAAGGUCCCCCACAUUGGAACUGAGACACGGUCCAAACUCCUACGGGAGGCAGCAUG
rnacentral:rRNA from 1 species